GACGUAGGGCGCGAGCGUUGUCCGGAUUUAUUGGGCGUAAAGAGCUCGUAGGCGGCUUGUCGCGUCGUACGUGAAAACCCACAGCUCAACUGUGGGCUUGCGGUCGAUACGGGCAGGCUAGAGUUCGGUAGGGGAGACUGGAAUUCCUGGUGUAGCGGUGAAGUGCGCAGAUAUCAGGAGGAACACCGGUGGCGAAGGCGGGGCUCUGGGCCGAUACUGACGCUGAGGAGCGAAAGCGUGGGGAGCGAACAGG
rnacentral:rRNA from 1 species